rnacentral:rRNA from 1 species
GGUUAAGCGACUAAGCGUACACGGUGGAUGCCCUGGCAGUCAGAGGCGAUGAAGGACGUGCUAAUCUGCGAUAAGCGUCGGUAAGGUGAUAUGAACCGUUAUAACCGGCGAUUUCCGAAUGGGGAAACCCAGUGUGAUUCGUCACACUAUCAUUAACUGAAUCCAUAGGUUAAUGAGGCGAACCGGGGGAACUGAAACAUCUAAGUACCCCGAGGAAAAGAAAUCAACCGAGAUUCCCCCAGUAGCGGCGAGCGAACGGGGAGCAGCCCAGAGCCUGAAUCAGUGUGUGUGUUAGUGGAAGCGUCUGGAAAGGCGCGCGAUACAGGGUGACAGCCCCGUACACAAAAAUGCACAUACUGUGAGCUCGAUGAGUAGGGCGGGACACGUGGUAUCCUGUCUGAAUAUGGGGGGACCAUCCUCCAAGGCUAAAUACUCCUGACUGACCGAUAGUGAACCAGUACCGUGAGGGAAAGGCGAAAAGAACCCCGGCGAGGGGAGUGAAAAAGAACCUGAAACCGUGUACGUACAAGCAGUGGGAGCACAGAGCAAUCUGUGUGACUGCGUACCUUUUGUAUAAUGGGUCAGCGACUUAUAUUCUGUAGCAAGGUUAACCGAAUAGGGGAGCCGAAGGGAAACCGAGUCUUAACUGGGCGUUAAGUUGCAGGGUAUAGACCCGAAACCCGGUGAUCUAGCCAUGGGCAGGUUGAAGGUUGGGUAACACUAACUGGAGGACCGAACCGACUAAUGUUGAAAAAUUAGCGGAUGACUUGUGGCUGGGGGUGAAAGGCCAAUCAAACCGGGAGAUAGCUGGUUCUCCCCGAAAGCUAUUUAGGUAGCGCCUCGUGAAUUCAUCUCCGGGGGUAGAGCACUGUUUCGGCAAGGGGGUCAUCCCGACUUACCAACCCGAUGCAAACUGCGAAUACCGGAGAAUGUUAUCACGGGAGACACACGGCGGGUGCUAACGUCCGUCGUGAAGAGGGAAACAACCCAGACCGCCAGCUAAGGUCCCAAAGUCAUGGUUAAGUGGGAAACGAUGUGGGAAGGCCCAGACAGCCAGGAUGUUGGCUUAGAAGCAGCCAUCAUUUAAAGAAAGCGUAAUAGCUCACUGGUCGAGUCGGCCUGCGCGGAAGAUGUAACGGGGCUAAACCAUGCACCGAAGCUGCGGCAGCGACGCUGAUGCGUUGUUGGGUAGGGGAGCGUUCUGUAAGCCUGUGAAGGUGUGCUGUGAGGUAUGCUGGAGGUAUCAGAAGUGCGAAUGCUGACAUAAGUAACGAUAAAGCGGGUGAAAAGCCCGCUCGCCGGAAGACCAAGGGUUCCUGUCCAACGUUAAUCGGGGCAGGGUGAGUCGACCCCUAAGGCGAGGCCGAAAGGCGUAGUCGAUGGGAAACAGGUUAAUAUUCCUGUACUUGGUGUUACUGCGAAGGGGGGACGGAGAAGGCUAUGUUGGCCGGGCGACGGUUGUCCCGGUUUAAGCGUGUAGGCUGGUUUUCCAGGCAAAUCCGGAAAAUCAAGGCUGAGGCGUGAUGACGAGGCACUACGGUGCUGAAGCAACAAAUGCCCUGCUUCCAGGAAAAGCCUCUAAGCAUCAGGUAACAUCAAAUCGUACCCCAAACCGACACAGGUGGUCAGGUAGAGAAUACCAAGGCGCUUGAGAGAACUCGGGUGAAGGAACUAGGCAAAAUGGUGCCGUAACUUCGGGAGAAGGCACGCUGAUAUGUAGGUGAAGCGACUUGCUCGUGGAGCUGAAAUCAGUCGAAGAUACCAGCUGGCUGCAACUGUUUAUUAAAAACACAGCACUGUGCAAACACGAAAGUGGACGUAUACGGUGUGACGCCUGCCCGGUGCCGGAAGGUUAAUUGAUGGGGUUAGCGCAAGCGAAGCUCUUGAUCGAAGCCCCGGUAAACGGCGGCCGUAACUAUAACGGUCCUAAGGUAGCGAAAUUCCUUGUCGGGUAAGUUCCGACCUGCACGAAUGGCGUAAUGAUGGCCAGGCUGUCUCCACCCGAGACUCAGUGAAAUUGAACUCGCUGUGAAGAUGCAGUGUACCCGCGGCAAGACGGAAAGACCCCGUGAACCUUUACUAUAGCUUGACACUGAACAUUGAGCCUUGAUGUGUAGGAUAGGUGGGAGGCUUUGAAGUGUGGACGCCAGUCUGCAUGGAGCCGACCUUGAAAUACCACCCUUUAAUGUUUGAUGUUCUAACGUUGACCCGUAAUCCGGGUUGCGGACAGUGUCUGGUGGGUAGUUUGACUGGGGCGGUCUCCUCCUAAAGAGUAACGGAGGAGCACGAAGGUUGGCUAAUCCUGGUCGGACAUCAGGAGGUUAGUGCAAUGGCAUAAGCCAGCUUGACUGCGAGCGUGACGGCGCGAGCAGGUGCGAAAGCAGGUCAUAGUGAUCCGGUGGUUCUGAAUGGAAGGGCCAUCGCUCAACGGAUAAAAGGUACUCCGGGGAUAACAGGCUGAUACCGCCCAAGAGUUCAUAUCGACGGCGGUGUUUGGCACCUCGAUGUCGGCUCAUCACAUCCUGGGGCUGAAGUAGGUCCCAAGGGUAUGGCUGUUCGCCAUUUAAAGUGGUACGCGAGCUGGGUUUAGAACGUCGUGAGACAGUUCGGUCCCUAUCUGCCGUGGGCGCUGGAGAACUGAGGGGGGCUGCUCCUAGUACGAGAGGACCGGAGUGGACGCAUCACUGGUGUUCGGGUUGUCAUGCCAAUGGCACUGCCCGGUAGCUAAAUGCGGAAGAGAUAAGUGCUGAAAGCAUCUAAGCACGAAACUUGCCCCGAGAUGAGUUCUCCCUGACCCUUUAAGGGUCCUGAAGGAACGUUGAAGACGACGACGUUGAUAGGCCGGGUGUGUAAGCGCAGCGAUGCGUUGAGCUAACCGGUACUAAUGAACCGUGAGGCUUAACCUU